CAGAGGUUGUAGCGAGCCAAGAUCCUGUCACUGUACUCCAGCCUGGGUGACAGAGCAAGACUCCCUCCCUUUCAAAAAGAGGGGAUAUGUUCUGAGAUAUGUGUCAUUAGACUAUUUUGUCAUUGUGCCAACAUUAUAGAGUGUACUUAACAAACCUAAAUGGUAUAGCCUAGUACACACCUAGGCUAUGUGAUACAGCUUACUGC